CAGGCAGCGACGUCACUAAAGCUAACUGUAUACACUUUGGUGAAGAUCAGACAUUGUGAAUUCAAGGCUGUCCGUAUGUGCAUGGGUGUACGGCCCCAUUCACUGGAGUACUGACAACCUAUUAUGGACCACAUCAUGUGAGAAGAUUGACUCUCCCAUCAGCUGCCAAUAGCAUGGGGAAAACUGAUAUGUAACUAGGACUCCUAAGAAGCCUUAGAGCUUUCCCAUAAUGACAUGCUGUCUUGGACAUUUCCGGAGAGGCUGCACAGCAAAAGAGACAAUGGCACGGAUAGUCUCAGAGAAUAAACAAG